rnacentral:lncRNA from 1 species
CUUGUCCAGAAUUCCAAUAUGUGUGUAUUUAAUUAUUCGCAUGCAUAUGAUCAGAAAAUAGAUGUCAACAAGUUCAUGAGGAGGUUUUUAAGAUUGAAAAUUGGUUAUUCAAAAAAUACUUGUCUUCACUAAAUUUCAAAGAAAUUCUUGGUUGAAACUUCAAUUUUUCAAGCUUAUGCUAUGGACCAGUUAAAAUGUACUCAAAAUUGUAAAAUUAUUUUGUACUAAUGCUACACAAUCAUUCUUUAUCAUUAGAUUUGUUUCCUUAUAAAAAGAAUAGAACAUAGAAAGUGCUUCCAAAAAGUAGCAUUUCGUGAAUGCAACAAUACAAAGAGGGUAUGAGUAUGGUGGAAAAAUUAAAUUAAAUUUUGAUUUUGUUUUUGAAAACUUAACAAAAGAAAUUGUUUAGUAAUUCAAUUAUGGUUAAGCUUUCAACAGUUGGAAACUAUGUGGGUGAUGUCAAAAAACAUGUUAAUCAUCUAUGCUUUUGAGGUAUCUCUCUCUUUCUUUCUUUCGAUAUAUAUAAUCAUUCUUGGACCAUGGUCAAUUAUUGAAGCAUUGAUCAUAUAAUGAUUAUAUAUAUUAUCUGUGACGUCAAUCAUAUACACUGACUGAAAUGUGGGGUGAGUAUUAAGCAGUCAAGAAAGCAUUCAACUCCAUUGUGUUUAGGCUAGAAAAAACGUGUUUAAACUUUUUAGGGAAAAUCUAUUUAAAUCACAUGUCUAUCUCUCUCGUUUCUUUUAAACUUGUUGUGAUAACAAAACAUUUUUUUGCAGGGAUGAUUUGGCUUCAUGAAUGUAUGUGGGUAUCGAUCCACAUGAGUUUCAAGACUGACUGUUGAUUAGGGAUGUGAUUGAUGGUUGUUUAGUUCUGAUCUUUUUAGCUUUCGAAUUUAAUCACUAUUGUGAUUGAUGGUUGUUUUGUUCUUUUGACAUGAUGAUGAAUUUUGUUUUUUUUAGAGUUUAAUGACAUAAAACUUUCUAAGAGCUGUCACCAUAGUUAUAUCUUUUUAAUUGGUUUUAAGUUUCUUUUCAUCUUAUGACUUGUGCGUUUCUAUGGGGAAAUUCAUAUGAUUUUGACAUAUAUCUGAAUCUAUGAGAGUCUCUGUUUUAAUAUUGAAAGAACAAAACUUUUUGACAAAAGAGAGAAUCAUAAUCGACUCUUAAUGAUCAUUAGUAUUGUUUCCUUUCCAAAUCUUGAUUCUUUCAAUGUAUUCUGUCAAGUGUUUGCAAGGGAAUCCUUGUGAUAAAGCUUGUUGGUGUGUUACACCAAAAGAUCCCUAUAGAGAAAGUCACAUUUUUAGCAUGCUCACUAUUGUUUUGAGUUUAAUGCCAUAAAACUUUGUAAGAGGUGUCGCCAUAGUUAUGUCUUUCUAAUAGUGGUUUGAAGUUUCUUUUCAUAUUAACCAAUUCACGUUGUACCUUUAGUACUAGCCAAUUCAACAUAAGCAGAGCUCAAAGUUCCAAUCCCAAUACAUUUGUGGUGAUUUAGUUUUAUUCUCUCAGCCUUGACUUCAUUCCUUCGGUUUAAAGUUACUUUCAUUGACUUCAUGUUAUGAUCUUCUCUUUGUUUAGUGAUUUGUACAUGUGAUUUUCAGAAUAGUAAGCUCCUUGAGGCGACUCUUCCUCUAUCAUCUAUGGCAGAGACUGACACAAAUGGUUAGUUAUCACGGACCUUCCUCCAACGGACUCAUCAAUGAAGAAGCAAACAAUUCUCAAAGACUGGCAUUUCAAGUACAAAAGACAAACUGUUAAAUAACAAAAACAUAGUUAUAAUUUUUUUUUUAUAACUGUAUUGGGUAGCAGGGAUUAAACCAAUCUGAGUUCCUAGAUUUUCAAUAAAACUAAUGAAAAUUCAAUUUUCUGUAUGCGACAUUCGUCCAUGUAACAGAGAUUAAAACAUUUUCAGAUCUUUCAGGAUUGUUGAAAGUUCUGUUUGGUUCUUGAGAGAUUGUUGUAGAAACAAAGGAAAGCUUAUCCUCUGUUUUUUCUGGUUCCUCUGUUUCGAGAGCUGUGGUUACUAGGCUUCUUUACUCCUGUACCUGAGGUGGAGAUUUUCUUAAUAGAACAUCUUCCAAAGUUAAAUAUUCCUUCAAGACAUUCUCUGAUGUAGCCACUUCAUCUCUAGAAGAUAUUUCAACAUCUCGGUUUGCCUUAUGAUCAUUACAAAGCUCAGUAUCAUCAAUCAAGCUUACCCUUUCUGUUUUCAAAGGACUCUGUUUCUAAAGCAUUUGACUUCACCAAAUCCUCUGACUCACACAGGUUUGAGUUUGAAUUUGAGUUACACGUCACAGACUUCUCCUGGACCAACACACCUUCAUCAGCACAUAUAUCCUUCACCACAUGAUAAGUUUUCUCCUUGUAGCAAACUACAAUCUCAGGCAAGUCACAAACUGUAACGUUCUUGUCCAUAUAUAUAAAACACCGGAUCAACUUUCUCGAUAGGAUCCCUUGUAUCAACAAUAUCAUGACUAUUGAGUUUCUUUCCAGUCUCAUUAGAGUCCCCACAAGAAUGGUCUCCAUUGUUGUCUUUAUCCCAUUCGUCGCCGCUUCUUGUAUCAUAGAACAACUCAUACACAUUGCUAUUGUUCAAGAGUGAUGAACAAUAUCAAGAACUUUCAAGCAGAUUCAUAGAAAAGAAUGAGAGAACAAAUAAUGAAAUUGCAGAGAGAAGACAUAAGUAUAAGGGAACUUCAUUAUAGAGGAUGGAAUCUUUUAAAGUUAAUCUGUUCUAUCUAUCUGUUUCUCUCCAAGCUUGGAGGGUAAAGUAUUCUAUGGAUGCAGAACAUAAGUAUAGUUAGUCACACAUGUGAAAGGCCAACAACAAAACAUCAUGAGGUCUAGAACAGAUAAUAAACAUCAAAAAAUGCAAUCAACCACUCGUGUGGCCACUUUCCAACUUUUUGCUAAUGUAGAGAAGAAGACGUUUAGAUAAAAGCUGCAAUGUCAUAAUAAUAAGCAAGAAAGUUUCAAAAUUUGAUUGUAAUAAGAUUUAUAGCAAUCAAUUAUACAGCUGCUAGACUGCAAUUUCUCAGCUCUCUUUUACAGAAAUCUCAAUAAACAAUUAGACUUUAAAAGACAGAAGAAGAAUCUCGAACUGAAAUUAAAUAAAACAACGUUUAAUGCCACCAUUUAUUAGAUAAAGUCAGGAAAAUCAUUUUUGCUGAUUCAUUUUCUUGGUGAAUUGGAAAAAGAUCGGAUCCCAAUUAACUAACAGUUAGUUCAACAGUAGCCAAUUAAAAUGGUUAUCUUACAAAAGUAAAUUUGAAAAUAUAUCAUAACAAUUGAAAAUAAAUCUACAACCGUCAAAUGAUAGAUUCUGAAACAAUAAACCAAAACUCAGAUAAUUAUGUUUUAUGGGUCUCACAGUUCAUGUGAAAUCGUUUGGCCUCCCGACAUUGAUGUUCUGUUCUGCCAAGAACUCUGUAAUCGCCUUCUUUUGCCAUCCUUUGAAGCUCCUGUAACCCCAAAAGAACAACCAUUUACUCGUAAUCCACGCGAGAGGAACACAAAUAUACAGAGGAGAAUGAUUUUGGACAUUACUUUUGAUCAAGAUGAGCCAAGAUCUCGCCCCCUGGGAAUGAAGCUUUGGUAGCUUCAAAAGCUGCUUGAAUCGACUGUCUCCAAGUUCCACCAAUGUGAUUCUCUCCAGGCUUUGCUUCUUCCAUCGGCAAUGAGUAACCAGAAAGCAAAUGGCCUACCCAUAUAUCAUCUUUCCUGAUGAACACAACACACCAAGAAUCAGCCGGAGAAAAUACUUACACUAAAGAGUUCUUGACAACUUACAAAACUACAUCCACGUGACGAGGAGCAUAGUGUCCACCUCCAAUCCCUAAAAGAACCUUCCUCUUUCCAGUUUCACUGCCCACCAAAUUGAUUCUCAUUACUUGAGAUGAUACUACAUUUUUCUUUUUUGAGAUGUAAAGAUUAAGCUACCUGUUCCAGCUCCCCACAGCUUCACCGCCUCCAAGCCCAAGCCCUUCCCAUAUUAACUGAAUCACAAAACACAAUGUUUAUACUAAAUGAAAGCAAUGUUUUAGAUAUUGACAAGCAAGUUCCUAGAGAGGACAGUGCAUAUUAAUGGUUAGAAGCAAACUUUAAACACAAAUGUCUUUGAUUCCCCACGAAGCAACAAGAAUAUUCAUUUACUUACAAGAGCAAUAACUUGAGCAGCGUCUUGUCUCUUCCAGUAUUCCUCUGUACUACCUACAUAUACACAAUAAACAAAGAACACACACAAGCUAAGCAACUGAAGACAAGAAAUGGCUAAAUUUCAACUAGAAAGAAACUCACCAAUCUCCAAGAACAUGGUUGGCUUACUAGUUAUAGGUCCAUGAUGAGUACCUUCCAAUGUUAUCUACACACACCCACACAUAAAACAAAGCAAUCUCCAAAAUAAAAAUAACAAACAACAAAACAAUACCUCAAACUCAGGAACCAAGCUAUGAGCUUCAGCCAUCUUCUUCAAAAGACGCAACCAUGGACCAAUCCUAGGGCUCGGCAACGCCGCCCACCCGGCCUUUCCUCCGUGCGGCGGCGAUUCUCCUUCCUUUAAGUGAAGCACUCCUUCAACCAACCACCAACUAUUGAGGGAAAAAUAGCACAAACCCACAAAGAAAGUUUCGAUCUUUUUAGCAUAUACCAAUGGGGUGAACGGUGAGAGCAGGACGGUUCGAGGCGGCGGUGUGACGGCUGAGGAAGAUGACUUCAUCUACAACCUCUCCGGUUGCUUCCUCCCACCGUGAAUCGAGAUCGUCUUCCUUCACUAUAGACACAUCGUGCUGAAUCAGCCUCGUUUGCUGGUUGGUGAAGCUCUUGAUGUUCUGCAAGAAUCCGACAAGAAGAGGAUUCAGACAAGAAUGGGGGAGGAGAAGAAAGAUCGUAACUUUACCGGCGGUAAGGUGGGUCCGGUGGUCCAUCCCGGCAUGGCGAGAAGCGCCGCCGCGGGGUUGAUCGACGCUGGGUCGUAGGUGGUCGCGACGAUCAGUGUCACCAUCUCUAGCUUUGAGAAUGGAACGCGGCAAGUCGCGUUUAUAAGCGGUUGGGGACUGAGUUGCGUUUGUUUGUGCGAGUGGACGAAGCGUAUAAAGUUUCGGCUGCUUGUUUUCAAAACCAUUGUUCUUCUACAUUUUCAACAUUUGGAAAAGCUAAUAAAGUGAUUUUUCUUUUUGUUUGGGCAACAAGCUAUAGCGCUACAAGUAAAUUCGUUUAGUAAACCAAAUUUAAACGUUCCAGUCAAUAAAAUUUGUGAAAUUCCUUCAGAUAACCUUUUGAAUUUUUUGUCACAAAAAAUAGCCUCAAUAAAGAAAAUAACCAAAAUAAGUUUUAUUAAAACAUAAAAAAUGAAUUUUACUCUAGGGUUAACUAAUCUAUACUUAGAGUUUAGAGCUAAGGGGUGAGGUUUUGAGGAUAAAGUUUCAAAUUAUAAAAAAAUAUAUAUAUUAAAAAUUUUCAACAUAAAAAGGAUUAUUUUGGUCAUUUUUUUAGAGCUAUUUUUGUGAUAAAAACUUAAAAAUGACUAUUUGAGAGAAUAGUCCUAAUAAUUUUCUUUUUAAUAAAUCACUCAUAUUGUUGAAAACUAUUUAUGAAUUAAGUUAUAUAUAGUAACAAAUUAAAAUAAUUUAGCGACAAAAAAAAUCUAUUUGUAUUUUUGUAGAUCAAAAUUUAGAACAAAUGUUUAACUAAUCGUUUGAAAACAAUUAAUAUGAAUAUAAAUAAUUUGAACUAUAAAAUUUUUAAAUCAAUCAUAGUAAUCGAUAGGCUGGGCAAAAACACGAAUCCGAAGAACUAAACCGAAUAUGUUCCAAAAAGUAGAAUCAAAUCUAAAUAAAAAUUGGUUAAAUAUCCGAACGGAUUCAAGAAAAUUGUAUUUAGAGAACCCGAUCCCGAUCCGAACCGAAGUAUUUCGGAUACCCAAAUGUAUUCGAAAUAUAUNNNNNNNNNNNNNNNNNNNNNNNNNNNNNNNNNNNNNNNNNNNNNNNNNNNNNNNNNNNNNNNNNNNNNNNNNNNNNNNNNNNNNNNNNNNNNNNNNNNNNNNNNNNNNNNUUAAAGUGUAUAAAUUAUUAAUUUUUUAAAAAUAGUUUAAAUGGAUUACCUGAACCUGAACCGAAAUUUAUAAAUAUCAAAAUAGAGAUAAAAUCUUUAAACUUGAAUAGAGCUGAACCGAACCCGAAUGGAAUAUCUGAACGCCUACCCUUAAGUAAUUGAUGAUACAAAAACAAUAGCUAUUGAAAAAUGAUGGUACUGCCCAUGAUCGAACUUGAGACCUUUAGCGUGUAAGGCAAACGUGAUAAUGACUACACCGCAGCACCUAAUAUUUGCUUUGCCUCAUUAAGGUUAUAAAACAUAUUACACAUCUCUCGUAAGCAUUAUAUGGUUUGAGACGCAAUUUUAUAGGAGUAUAACCGAAGGCGUUGAAUACUUGUGUAGUAGCAGAGACUGGGGAUGAACAAUUGCUUAAGAAAGCUAGGACGAUGAAUAUUGAAUCCUCAGUGAAAGAGGCUUUGUCUACAUACAAUUAUUAUCUCAACAACAUCGUAAGUUUUGUUUCCUCUCUUCCCUAUAAAAAGCUCAUGCUUCAUAGGUUUAUGUUUAUUUGCUGUUGAAAAAGAUUAGACCAUGCAUCUUGGAAUGGAGUCAUAUAGAUACAGACUUAUGAGGUAGGCCUACUAAAGGAACGAGCUUUCUAAAGUUGAUUCAUUUUUAGUUGUGAAUUACAUAAAAGGUAACUCACCUAAAUGCUCCAGGUUUUGGACAUGAGCACAUUGGAAUUUGGAAUGAUGGUGGACAUGCAUAAAUUAUAUUGAACUACUAAAACACAAAAUAUAAAAAAAAUGUGAAAUUAUAAAGGGUAAUAAAAGGAAAACAAGACAAUAAAAAAGAGUGACAAAAUUGAGUGGUAAGCUUCUACGAACACACGGAACACAUGUUACAAUGGGAAUAGUUGUGAAGGAUACAAUAUCUAAUUUCCAGAUUUUUUGACACUAGAAUGAUGGAGGAUAUGCAUAAAGCAUAACGGAACUACUAAAAGCAUAGAAGAUUCUUUUUUAAAAAAUGUGAAGAUUAAAAAAGGAAAAACAAGACUAUCAAAUAAAAUUAAGGGGACAACAAAGAUUCGAAAUAAUAAACAGAAACAAUGGAAUAGGUAGGUUGGAAAAGUAAAUCAUAAGAGUUGGUACGGAGAUCAAGUGUGACGAUGGCAUCAGGAUAAUCACGACCUUGGAGUAGUAACUUGUGCUUGUCCAGAAUUGCAAUAGUAGGCACCCUGAACGUAUAAGCAGUUGAUGUUGUUGAUUCAAACACAAAGCUUCGAUCCUCUUCUCUCUUGCUGAGACGACCAUCAUCAUCAUAACAGUUAAGGGACACGAAAAGGACAUGUGGACCGCUUCGAGACAUCUGGAUCAAUUAUUAUCUUUCCUGGAAACGUCAGGAAUCGAUUGCAGAUUUCAGCUUCUUGGACACGGUCCUGAAUCUCAGCAGAGAUUUCACCGGAAGCUUCUCGAGUAUCAGCUCUACAACAUCGUCUGGGAGGAGCAAUUCUUUGCGUUGCCUUUUCAAUGUUCUUCUUGUUUUGAACGGAAUCAUCCUCUCGUGAUACUUUGACUCCUUUACUAGCAGAUGAGAUUUGAUAAGACUACUGGAAUAGAAACUAGUUGGUUCUUCUUUUAAAUUCUUUUGCUAAGAAUCUGCUUAAUUAACUUCUUUUUUUUUCUAUUUAAUGAGCCUUUUUUUUCUUUAGGAUAGUGUUGUGAAUUGUGAUAUUGUCAUGAUGGACCAAACUGGUCUGACCUGUUUUUAGU